rnacentral:rRNA from 1 species
CGAACGCUGGCGGCAUGCCUAACACAUGCAAGUCGAACGAGACCUUCGGGUCUAGUGGCGCACGGGUGCGUAACGCGUGGGAACCUGCCCUUAGGUUCGGAAUAACUCCCCGAAAGGGGUGCUAAUACCGGAUAAUGUCUUCGGACCAAAGAUUUAUCGCCUUUGGAUGGGCCCGCGUUGGAUUAGCUAGUUGGUAGGGUAAAAGCCUACCAAGGCGACGAUCCAUAGCUGGUCUGAGAGGAUGAUCAGCCACACUGGGACUGAGACACGGCCCAGACUCCUACGGGAGGCAGCAGUGGGGAAUAUUGGACAAUGGGCGAAAGCCUGAUCCAGCAAUGCCGCGCGAGUGAUGAAGGCCAUAGGGUUGUAAAGCUCUUUUACCCGGGAUGAUAAUGACAGUACCGGGAGAAUAAGCUCCGGCUAACUCCGUG